GGGGGUAUUGCUCAGUGAUAGAGUGCAUGCUUAGUACACGUGAGAUCCUGGGUUCAAAUCCCCAGUACCUCCA
rnacentral:tRNA from 1 species